GACGAACGCUGGCGGCGUGCUUAACACAUGCAAGUCGAACGGAAAGGCCCUGCUUUUGUGGGGUGCUCGAGUGGCGAACGGGUGAGUAACACGUGAGUAACCUGCCCCUGACUUUGGGAUAACUUCAGGAAACUGGGGCUAAUACCGGAUAGGAGCUCCGGCUGCAUGGUGGGGGUUGGAAAGUUUCGGCGGUUGGGGAUGGGCUCGCGGCUUAUCAGCUUGUUGGUGGGGUAGUGGCUUACCAAGGCUUUGACGGGUAGCCGGCCUGAGAGGGUGACCGGCCACAUUGGGACUGAGAUACGGCCCAGACUCCUACGGGAGGCAGCAGUGGGGAAUAUUGCACAAUGGGCGGAAGCCUGAUGCAGCAACGCCGCGUGCGGGAUGACGGCCUUCGGGUUGUAAACCGCUUUCGCCUGUGACGAAGCGAGAGUGACGGUAAUGGGUAAAGAAGCACCGGCUAACUACGUG
rnacentral:rRNA from 1 species